rnacentral:rRNA from 1 species
UAGUUCAAACAGUGCAUACAGACCUCAAAUCAAGUAGGACUACCCGCUGAAUUUAAGCAUAUCA